UACGUAGGGUGCAAGCGUUAAUCGGAAUUACUGGGCGUAAAGCGUGCGCAGGCGGUUAUGUAAGACAGGUGUGAAAUCCCCGGGCUUAACCUGGGAACUGCAUUUGUGACUGCAUAGCUAGAGUACGGUAGAGGGGGAUGGAAUUCCGCGUGUAGCAGUGAAAUGCGUAGAUAUGACGGAGGAACACCGAUGGCGAAGGCAAUCCCCUGGACCUGUACUGACGCUGAGGUGCGAAAGCGUGGGGAGCAAACAGG
rnacentral:rRNA from 1 species